AUCAACGCCUGAAAAGGAAGUAGUAAAAAGUCGAAAGUUUUAGAGAGCACAUGGUUGGUGGAAAUGUGUACGGACGCUUUUGAACUCGCCUUUGAGUUGCGCCUACUGAAAUCACAAACAGAGUAAGUAGGAGCGGUGACGACCGUUACAACGUUUGAGGCCUUUGUGAAAAGGCAAAAUUAGGUGGUACCACGUAGAUUACGUCCUAUAA
rnacentral:ncRNA from 1 species